rnacentral:rRNA from 1 species
UACGAAGGGGGCUAGCGUUGUUCGGAUUUACUGGGCGUAAAGCGCACGUAGGCGGAUCGAUCAGUCAGGGGUGAAAUCCCAGAGCUCAACUCUGGAACUGCCUUUGAUACUGUCGAUCUGGAGUAUGGAAGAGGUGAGUGGAGUUCCGAGUGUAGAGGUGAAAUUCGUAGAUAUUCGGAGGAACACCAGUGGCGAAGGCGGCUCACUGGUCCAUUACUGACGCUGAGGUGCGAAAGCGUGGGGAGCAAACAGG